rnacentral:lncRNA from 1 species
UCAAACUCGCAUAAAUUGUCUGGAACAAUGAGAUAUGAAUACAUAAACAAUCUUUCAUUUUCUUAAUUACACUUGAGAGAGUAAUUGGAGUCAUAGGAGUUAGCGCUGUACUUUCCUUAAUCUGUCACAACAAUCUUUUCCAUGCAGAGCAGGACGGAUUGAGUUUUGACUAACUCCAAAGCUCAACUUUUCUUUGCAGCUCACAUACUCGAUGGUGCCGCCCAUGUUCCUGACUCAAUAUUACAAUUGAAAACAAAGUCUUCAUGUCACUCGCAUUUACAUACUCUUGAUAGUCUUCUUCCCCACCUUCAGGUUUACCAAUAACAACAACAAUAAUAAUUGGAAGUUGAACUUGAAAAUGUCUUAAAUAAAAUAAAUCGAACAUGAUCUUCUGUACGACAAAUUCACAUGAAGCAUUAUACAAAAGCUUUUCAAUGAGUUGACAACAAAAUUAAACCAAAAAAGAACAAGAAAAAGAAAAAAAUGUUUUGAGUAGAGAAGAUUAUAAUUCAUUCCUUCAAUAACUUGAAAGGAUAGACAGGCAUUAAUUGUCUCCUCAUGAACAGAGGCACCAAAAAUUCACAGAAAUUAUCUUCACAUUCUGCAUGUUGACCCAUAAUUUCUAACAAAAAGAAAUACGUAUAUGGUUGAAGUGGUAUCAUAGGUCAUGGAUUAAAUGCUUCUAGGACUAUCUGUAUAAAGGUAGAACAUUUUAAAGGAUGAAUGAUGAAAGCUAUCUAGAGCUGGUCCAUCACAACUAAAUUGGCAGUGGGGCUGGACCUCAAGAUAAGCAAAACCAAGUCCAUUUUAAGCUCAAACCUUAAUUUCUGCACAGAGGUAGCUUUCCAGAUAAAUGUUUCUAAACAUUUUCCUCUUUCUAUUUUCCAGAUAAAGAUGGUAAAAAUUACCAAUUUUUUUCUGUAGGCCUUUUUCUCUUUUGCAAAACUUUUAUGUUUCUUCAAAGUUGUUUUGCAAGAGGGGGUCCUUUUGGCUGCUUGAUUCUAAGCUUCUUACUCCAGUUUCCACACCUGAGUUCCCUUCUUUGGCUUUUCCCCACAUCACAGAAUAAAAACCAGUAACAAUUACAGCUGCUCCAAUAAAUCUGCAUUACAUUAAAAAUGGAAUGGUCACUUUCUUAUAAUAGAAGAGGAGGAGAAAAUCAGGACAGGAAAUAAGAGAAAUCUGACCAGUAACAUGAUCAAACAAAACUUCUUAUACAAGUCAAAACACCACCCAAAAUUAAAAAAAGGUACCUCCCAAGAUAGACCGUCUCUCCUAGGAAGAUGGUGCCAACCGCAGCUGAAAUUAUAACACCCAAGGGCUUGAACAUAGCUACAAAUACAGGCCCAGUCCUGUGCAGGCACCAGGUACAAACACCAACUUGGAAUGCAGAGCCAAAAACAGCCUGCAUUUUCCAUAUUAAGGUUUCAAGACAAAAAGUGAAUAUAAUUUAAGCAUGUACACAAACAUGCUUUUUCUUCUUACUUCUACUUACCGAGUAUAGCACAGCAACUAACCUCACACCAGGUUUUAAGCUCCAGCUGCUUAGGUCUCUUUCCAUAACCAAACAGAAUAUUGCAGAUUGAAUGGCCACAAAGAAGCAGUAAAAAAAGACUACGAUGAACUCAGCUGAGAAUUUCUUAAGGAUUGAAGCCUGAAAUGUACGAAAAAUAAGUCAAUCUUAUAACUGGUUCUCACUCUUGCUAUUUCUUAAGAAUCUAACCUGUACAAUAAGCCAUGCUGAAGUGAACACACAAUCUACGGCAAGGAGCAAUCCACCAACGACCCAGUUUGUUUGCGGCACGAAAAAUUGAAGGGACAAGUUUGGUGGCAAAGAUGUCAUCAGAAGGUGGGUUCCUUUAUAGUAUGUCAUGAUAAAUGCCCCUGUAAUUAACACAAUGGUUCCCACUGAUUUGGCCAGGCUACUGGAGCUUCUCCAAUCUAGUUUUUCCAUCCUGAAAUCACCAAGUUGAAUCAUUUUAUAUCCAUCGGUAGCAAUAAAAAUAUCACUCUACGCAACUUAGGAGUCUGUUACUCUUCCAAAGUUUUCUACCAUAUGCUUAGCACAUUCAUUAAUUAAAACAUGAGUUAAAACUUUUUGAGAUAGAAAAGUCUGACCGAGAAAGGAAACUAAAAGGAGCUCAACCAUCCAGUCACUGAAGAACUCUUCAGAUGAUAUGACUAUCAGAGGAGCUCAAAUGAGAAAACGCCAAAAGAUGUGAUUUUGGGCAACAAAAGAAUCCACUAAAUUAGGAGUAACAUUAUGACCACAAACUAUUUUUGUACAAAUUAAUGUGGCACUACAUGACUGUUUGAAUGAAAAUAUAGAAUAAUAAAAAUAAUUAAUGUAGGCCAUGUGGUGAUUUUAUUCAACGAAUCAUGUUAUGCUGCAUCAAUUUGUAAAAAAAUUGAUGGUAAAAGAGUUUGUAGUUGUGUCAUUGUUUCUAAAUUAUUAGCAACACAGAAGAAGUCACUAAAUUAUUAGCAACGCAAAACUAACUCCUCUUAAAUAAUAUCCUUUAAGUCCAUCUUAAGGAAAGAAACUAUAAUGCCUACAAGCCAGUAUUUUGAAGACAACAAUAUCAGCCGAGUUGGCACCAAUCAAUUAUCAAUAAUUCAGUCAUGAGUCUCAUGACCAUAACUAAAUAGUAAUUACAAAGUCAACGUCAGCCUCUAAUGCACAGACAGACCUAUUAUAUUUCAUCAGCCGAGGCUGCAGAUCAAAUAAUUCUCCUCGAUGUUAUUACAUUCCCAAAUUUGCAAUAGAAGGGAGAAGGCCGCGAAACUUUAAAAGCCAGACCCACCUGCAUUGCCACUUUAAUUCUACAGCAAGCAAAUCUCUUGCAACAGACUUAAGGAAUGGAAGACAUCACAUAUCAUGGUUCCUUUAAGUUCAGUGCCGAAUUGAUUAUAACUCUUUGGUGCAGAUUAUCCACACAUGCAUUUUUCAUUUUAAUAAACUGGGAGGGGGCAUGUACCACAUCCACAGUGUAGUAAGAUAAACAGGAACGGAGAAGAGGUGUGUUAACAGAAUAGUUGGAGGAUUUUGAUGUUCUAGAACAUUGUAGGUAAAGCUUGGGUCAGAAUCAGAACAAGAGCUUUGAGUAUCUUCUCCCUUAAGGGCAUAUUGUCUGAGCUGCAAGACCAACAUAGUGAUUUCAGCUUAUCUGUGACCUCAUACUCAUCAGCUCCUUGUUAAUAGCUUAAAAGGCAUACUGCCACUUCAGCAAUAACAUUAAAUCUGUCUAAUUUUCAGCAGCUCUUUUGAAAUUCCUUCUCUAACUCUAAACUGCAGUCACUGAUUGAGUGGGUUCCAGAUCAAGUAUUGAUGUCUGAAGGAAUGAAUAAUUAAGGAGGGAAAGACAGGAACCUAUCUGUCCCUGCAUGGUGGAUUAAUUACAAAUAGCUUACUACCUAAUCCAGGAAUCAGACUGGAUAAUCAUUAUUUUGUAACUGGAAUACACUCUUAGCAAAUUUUCAGCAGUAUGCCUAUUAUGUAAUUGCAAGCCUGUAAUUGGGACUCACAAAACUUAAUUAUGCAAUUUAAGUACGGAAUCAGACACUCAUACAAAUGAAGAGAAAGAGAACUGAUUAUAUUAUUGGUUGCAAUUAAUUAGCAUCAGUAACAUAAACUUCCCAAACGGACUCCAAUGAACAAAAUCAAAAGAAAGUCAAAAUGAUCAUAGCAAAGGGGGGAGCAUUACCUGAAAAUGAUGGCAAGAAUGAAGGUAAAACCCGGAACAAGAUUAAGCAUAGCGGUGGAAAGUGUAGGUGAGCUAUAGUAAAUCCCAGCGUUACCAAAAAACUGAGACGAAGUACUGCUUGAAGUAAAAUAAAACAACAAACCCUUUAACAAACAACAUCUUUGAUUAUUAAUUUUCUUGCUGUAUGUGAAUGAGUAAAAGCAAGAAAAUUUAUUAUAAUCAAACAAAAAGAAACCAACCACAAGGUCAAAGAAGUAAAACUUAGCAUACCCUAGAAAGCCAAGUAGGAAGAAAGCAGAUAGAAUAGGCAAAGUGAGUGGAGGAAUUCGUGAUCUGCAUAGAGAUGAUGAAUUGAUUAAAACAUGAGAAGCUUUGAUAUUUGAGAUUAACGAAGGGUAAGUAACCUGUGGAAGAGAAGUGAAGCGGGGAGGAGAACGAGAGAGGCGAAUGCUUUGGAGUAAAAAACGAAGACCAGGUUGCUCAUCCCAUCAGACAUGGCUGCUUUGCCGGCAAACAUCAGCCCAACUUGAGCGCACUCUGCCAUCACCAUCCCAAUAACUGGCGCUAAACCAACUUUUCCCAUCUCUUCUCUCGCUCCGAUUGCCAGUACGGGCUCUGGAAUUUGGGGCAGAAAGAUUACUUUCUUGAUGACACGUAUCAAAUGUUUACUCGAUAUUCUAAGCCAUCAUCAUAUUCUUUUCUGUAGGUAGAUACUUUGAAAUUCUGUAGCGAAUCAAGUAGUCAUCUAAACAGAUACUGCAUGGGAAGGUAUAUUCAACGGAAGAAGAAAUCAAAUUAUUAUUUUUUUUCGGUGUAUUAAUCCAGACAUCAAUACUUGAAUCAGUCGAUAGCUUUGCCGCCCUAGUGUCCAGCUCAAUUUGUGAGGGGAUGUAUCUUACAUUAAAUGUAAGAUAAAGAAAUCUUUUAUGUAGAAGAAUGAAGAUCAUCAUGCUUGCAUUAUCACCUGCUCUAAAUUAUUGAAUCUUGAAAAGUUUGACAUCCAACUCACUGACUUUGCUAGUCCUAUCAGCUGCAUGUUGAUAUUCAUUCUUGUACGUAAAUAUAAUUACUAAUCAAGGAUUGAUCAUUGACUUUUAAGUAGGUUGCAGGGCUAGCUGUGUAACCCGUCGGAUUCUCUUUAUUAAUAGUUAUGGUCAUUGUUAGUAAGAAAAUAAGAAGUGUCAUUUCUUUUGAUUGGGUUAUUAAGGGAUUUUGGGGAUUGAUUUUAGGCUUUUUUAAUUUGUUAGAGUUACUAAGAAUUUCCUAAUAUUACAUUUAUUAAUUACAUAAGACAUGUGUGCUUGUAUUAUUACUUACAUUUGUUACGUAUUUAUUAUUUGGGUUCGAUUAUAUUGGAACUGCUCUAAGGUAUAAUAUUUUUUUAUAAUCACACGAUUAAAGUUAUAAUUUUUUUUUUAUUAUUUAUCACUUUGCGUGUGUGACUGAGAUUCGUACUCCAUCAUACAUCAACUCCAACAUAACCAUAACCUUAUUAUUUACAUUUAUCAUAAAAGCUUGUAUUAAUUUUUACCACGCGAAAAUUACAAGCUAUCGACUAAUCUGUUAUUUACAUGAUUUCUCUUUAUAGAAAUAUUAUGGUAUCCGAGGAAUUGCCUCUGGAAGUGGGAAAUUAACAUAAUAUUUUUUUCUUUUGUUUUUUUUCCAAUACAUAUCACUUCAAUUACCGAGCUUUUCUAUUUCCCCAAAAGACAGUGUGGCGAGAUGCAAAAAUUCGUCAAAGGCAUAGAAAUUAUGGAACCAGCACUUUAAUUUUACACAGAAUCAUUUUAUUAUAGAUAUCGUGCAGUAGUUUAAUUUUACACAGAAUCAUUUACAACAUUAGACAUCGCAUUAAAUCCUUGGGCUACCUUCUGCAUUUGUGCUGGCUAUAAAUUUAACCCACCGGCUUGUGGCAACGGCAAACCGUUGACCCCCUCUAACCUAACUUUCUUAGAUUUUUUUUAAUAAAUAAAUGAUAAAUUAUGAUGAGGGGUCUUAUGCAACUUCACUCGUCUAAAUAAUAAAGAAAUUAUUGAAAUAAGUAAAUGAGAAAUUAUUUUACAAAUUUGAAGGACUUUUUUUUUUUAAUUCUGUUAUAUACAGAUUGUUACUGAUAUUACAUCAGACAUUACAAUUACAAUACAUCAGAUAUUACAAUUACAAUAUUUACAAUUGUAUCAAAUAAUAUAAUGCUCCACUCACAUUUCGUAAGAGAGAAAUUAUCUUCACUCAAUUAGUUGAUAAUUGAGAGAGUACUGAAACUAACUUCCAUAAUGCUCUGAUGGAGGCUCGAAUCCUUACACUCAAUAUUAUAAGUGCAAAACUUCUCCUAUUGGACCAAAUGCUCAUUCGUACUAAUUUGAGGGACUUAAAAACAUAGUAUUUGACCAAAAUUUUGUGAGUGUUGUGGCCUCAAUAGAAGUUGAGAAAGUCUUAGAUGGUAGGGACUCCACCACAUCAUCACAUCAUCAUCUAAUUACAUACCACCACAUGCAUAUACGUAAUGUACUAUGGUUAUUUUAAAUUUAGUGAUAAGUGUAUAUGUGGUGUCAUCCAAUUGGAUGGUAAGGUGACGAUAUGGUGGCAUGAUAUCAGUAUCACUCAAGACUUUCACAUUUUAUAAAUUUAUAUGAAAACUUUCAACCACGAAAGAAACAACCAAAUAUAUAUAUAUACAUAACAUGGUUGUUGGAGACUAAGAGUGGAGGAGUGUUUUAUAGAUUUAUAAUAUUGGUAUCAAUAUAAAUAGUUGAAAAUUAUAAAUAAAUAAUAUUAAAUAUCUUAAAUUUUAUCUUAAAACUAGGAAAUAGAAUCGCACUUCACGCAACUUUGAAAAAAGAAUUUAUUAUUCUCUUUUUUUCCUCAUUCUACUUUUAAUGAUUUAUUCUAUUUGAUUAAGAGGCAAGACUUCCAAAAAAGAUGAAAAAAAUAAAGUAAAGCUAAAAUCAAAAAAACUUUUUUAAUUAUUAAAAUUGCAUCAGCUAAAUUAACACGGUAGAAAUAGAAGUGCCAUAAAUGCACCUUGUCUAAGUCAAAACCUUGGAAAUUUGAGGUUGAUAUAUCACCGCAAGGCCACCUGGAGAAGGAGCAGAAAAUGUAUCACAAUAGCCUCUCAGUAUGUUUCCUUCUUCAGCAGUGAAUCCGAGAGAGGUGAGCAUUGCAAGCCAGCAAUUAUAGGUGAUGAUAUCAAUGGCGUGGCAACAGUCAGGGCUAAUAUCAGCCUAGCUAUUAAAGAAGAAUAUAACGAUCUCAUUUGAGUAUGAUUUCAGCUCCAUUAACGUGGUCCAGCACUCCGUUAGGCCUCCACUAGCUUCAAGUCUUGUUGCAAGAUCGUAGCAUGGUUUCAUAUUAUUGUUGAGGCGAUCACUCAUGCUGGUUGCAUUUGUAAUAUUUGCCAUGAUCAGGCAAGUGAGGGCCAAAAUGAAAAACACAUGUUUUAGAGCCAUUGCUAUUUUCUGUUCUUUUAUGUUGUGUUUAUGUGGGAUAUCAUAUUUUUUGUUGCUAUUUAUAAAUUAAGGUGAGGUAGAGGAGAAGAGUGAUUAAAAAUGUUUAUAAAUUAUUGCUUAAUUUAUGAUCAAGAAGGUUUCAAUUAGAGAAAAUAAUGAGUCUUUUGAUAAACUGUUACAUAUCGAUUGUGUAAUAACAGUCAAAUUAAUUAUGAGAAGAUGAAAAGCCAAAUUUGAAAGAAAAUUUCUCUAUUUGUUAGAUAAUAGAGAAUAUACAAAUAUGAGAAAUGGUGAUGUCACAUCACCUCUUGUAGUCCCAGCUUUAUAUAUAUAUAUGUGACGUUGAUUUAAUAAAUAGUGAGAUUGUGUGAUACUUCACUUAAAACUUACAAAAAUUUAUCUUCUACCUAAUGAGAGACAAAUCACAUAUCAAAAUGAAAAUUUGAGUUCAAAAUUUCUAAUUCAUCCUCUGUUAAAAUUCUAAGGUGUUUGGCAGAGCGGUUGUACGUAGCAAGUAACAGCUAGCUGAGAGAGAGAGAGAGAAAAAAAAAAAGAGAAAAAUUUCAUUCAAUCACAAUUCACAAAGAUUAAAAUAUGUACAUCAAGAGGACCUUGCACAAACCAAAAAAACCUGCUGCAAAAUCCUUCAAUGUUAUUCUUUCAUUUCUCUCACCCAAAUAUCUACAAUUGAACACACCAAUCUUCCCAAACUCUAAAAUUUUUGGUCGAUACACAGGUGGUACGCAUGUUUCUUCCGUAUCAUACAACAGGGCUUGAUGAAUCUCCCUCAACUCAAGCCAACUAGAAAGUGAAAAAACAAGCUAAUCAAUAAUAGUUAAGGAACGUAUUAGAUUAUUUAAUAAAUUCUGGUGCAUGUCAAAAUUUUAAUAUAUAUAUGUAGCAGAUCGAAUUUUAUACUUACUCGAAAAAGCAGCUUGAAUAAAGUUUUGCUUUGAGCAUGUUCAAAUUGCAGAGAGCUUCUUCAGACUUGCGAAUCUUCUUGCAAGAGAGGGACCUUUUGAUCGUCAGCAGCAUCUUUAGAAUUAUGGCCUUUACGCAGUAAUUCAUCCUCUCUGAUAUUUCCCCACGUUACAGUAUAGUAGCCCAUUCCGGUUAUAACUGCUCCUAUCACACUGUACAUGCAUGCAUUUCACUUCAUCUGUUAAUUGGAGGGAUUAAUUUGUUUGACACCCAACAAGAUUAAGAAUAACCAUCAUGUGCCAAAUGGUUGUGGCUCAGUUGACAGCGCAGGCUGAGUUUGUGGGAAGAACUCUCGGGUUUGAUCCCCACUAAACACACCAUUUGGAAGGGGUAAAGAGUCUUAACUGUGACUACACCUCGAAUCCGGAUUAGUUGAGGCCCAAUGCGGUCGCAGGACACCGGAUGGUUUACAAAAAAAAAAAAAGAAUAACCAUUAUGUAUAUGGCUAUCUUUAGUAAUUUUUUUAAAUUAUGAAAGAAUUAAACUUAAUUUUAUUUUAUUUAAAUAAUUCAUUCAGUAAAUAAUACAACAUGUUAUAUAUGUGCUGAAAAUAUAUGUAUACUCGUGUUCCAUAUAUAACAUUUUCUGACAUGUCAUCUGCUUGAUAAAUUAUAAACGAUAUGCUAUAUUAAGUAUUACCUUCCAUAAUGGAGAGAAUUUGUAAAGAAGGUUAAACCGAAAGCUGUGGCAAAAACAAUUCCAAAUGGUUUGAACAUGGGCACGUAAAGAUGGCCUUUCAUUUCGGCACACGAGACAUGGACGGUGCUACGAAUGACACUCCCAAAAAUUGCCUGUAACGAUUAACAAACCAUAUGUGUCUUUAAAAAUAAGGGAAUUAAUUAAGUUCAUAUUAUCUAUAUAUAGCCAUUUUCUAAUAUAGGCGUCCUUUUUUUUUAAUUUAUUCGGACACAUUUUAAGCUGUGUAGUUUAAUAGAUUUAGAUUUUAAUGCUAUUAAACCACAUGACUUAAUAACAUGUUCAUAUUUAAAAAAAAAAAAAAAGAGGUGCUCACACUAAUAUCUUUGGAGUGAUUGGUUUAAUUUUGGUAAUUAUAUUUGAAUCACUUACUGUUAUAAUAAUGAGGAGAAGCUCCAUGUUUAGCUUUAAUUUCCAAGCAUUGAUGUUUCUCUCCAUAAUCAGCGAGAAAAUUGAACACUGAAUAGUCCCAGCCAAGCUAUAAAAAGAGACCACUUUCAUCACUUGGGGAUACUGUUUGAUAGUUCCCACCUGACCAAAUUAAUUCGAAUUACACAAUUAAAUUCAGUGCGCUUUUGUCUCUGUGGUCGAUUUUAACGAGAAUGAAUUGAUCAUAAGAUCAAUGAAAUAUGAUAUUAAUUAAUAAUUUUACCUGAAUAAUGUUCCAUACGCAGACAGAUAAAGAAGAAGCCGCAAGCAAAGUGGAACCAAGGACCCAACGGUCUGGUGUUGAGUAGAAAAUGAGGAGUGGUGGAUUAAUUUUUGCUUCAAGUUUAUCAUCAGAAGCAGCUUUUCUCAUGGAUGGGCCUUUGUACACCUGUACAAAUAUAGCCCCCAUGAUCGAUAUCAAGGUGCCAAUUACUUUGACUCGGAUGCUUGAGCUUCUCCAAUCUAGUUUUGUUGUCCUGGGAUUUACGUUAUUAUUAUUAUCAUUAUUGGAGUUACAACCAUACUCUACAUGUCCAAAUAUCAUAUGGUAGUCCAAAUAUAUUUAUGAUGGUCGCUUCGGACUCAACUCUAUUGAGUCCACACAUAGCCAAGUUGACAUCUAUAAUUAAAGCUAAGCCCAAAACAGGAGAACUAUAUAGUAUAUAUAAAUAUUAAAUUGUUCCAAUAGGUGGUCUAAAACGCCACUAGAAAUGGCCCAUGGUGCCGAUAUUUUAUAUGUUCAGCAAGAAUUUUUUUCGGAUCUGGAUUUUAAUAUAUACGAGCAAAAUAAUACAAGUAAGUGAUGUUAAAAUAAAUAUAGUGCAACAGAGAAAUAGAUUUGGAUCAUGCAUAGAUGGUACGUAGUUAGUGUAUUCAUGUAAAAAAUUCAUCAAAACAAAGAUAUGUUAUCAAGAUCUCAAAUUGGUUGAUAUCAUCCCGUGCUCAUGAUGAUUUGAGAAAAAGAAUAAUUAAUUCAGAGGAAAUGUAUGUAUGUAUGUAAAUGAAGCUAAAGAGAAAAACCUAGUGAUGAUCGAAAGCAAGAAGGAGAUAGCAGGGAUCAAAAGGCCCAUCACGCACACAACGAUAGGCGAACUAUAAUACAAGCCGAAGAAUGCAAGGUUCUGAGAAAUAGCUACCCUGCAGCAAAAACAUAUAUUAAGGCAGAAAGUAAUUAAUUAGAACGAAAUAUGUAUCCAUCAGUAGCAGUGUUAAAGAAUUAAAACGAAACAAAAUUAAGGGAGGCUAUGAAAUAUACAAACCCGGUUAGGCCCAAGAAGAAGAAGCGCAGCAUAAGAGGUAAGGUGAAGAGUGGCUGCUCUAUUCUGCAGCAAGCAAAAUUAAUUUAAAAAGAUUAAUGGCAGACGAUCGACGAUAUUUAUAUUAAUAUAAUGAAAUAUUAUUAAAUUAAAUUUAUUGUUAUGUUGUACAUGGAACAUGAAGAAUUAAAAAGGAGAAAGAGGGGUGAUUAUUGUGUAACAACCUCCCCCCAGCCGCAGCCUCAGACCCGCGGUGAUGAAAGAAGAAGGAACAAGGAAGAAGAAGAAUGGAUCCAAGAGCAUUUGUGUAGGCAAUAAAAACAAAAGGGCUCAUUCCUCCAUUCAUGGCCGUUUUGGUCAAUAUAGUAAGCCCUAUUGUACAACCUUCCAUUAUCACCAUCAAUGUAAAUGGCACCAUUUCCUCCUCCAUUUGUCCUCUCACUAGUCCCAUCAUAUAUAAUUCGAUCGUAUGUGUCUCUGUUAUCUUUCACUCUUUAAUUAAUUUGUCUAAUGAAGCAUGUACAACAAGCUAUCUCUCUCGUAUAUAUUUAUGAGUGAAGGAAUUGAUCUAGCUAGGAGCCUGCUGAUGACUAGCUGACUGCUGAUAUAAUUUACAGUCAAAAAAUAAUGCACCAACUAAGAGCUUCCACAAUGAGAAUUGGAGAAUGACAGAGAGAGAUAGCCUUUCAGAAAGUUGUGAAGCUACUUUGUCUUUGUACGAGAAAUAGCUACUCGAUUUAGUGACUCAAUCUUUAUGCAAAGGGAGAAUAAGCCGACGUGGUUUGGUAAAAAAAUAUUAAAACUUAAGCAAUUAAUUAGAGAUUAAUAAUAAUGUGACGUGAAUGUUUUCAUCUGAUUUGUCCUUGCCCUUAAUCGUGAAUAUUUUUACUAUAUUUGGUCAUGUUCAAGACUAAUUAAAUUAAGUGCGGGGCCAGUAUAUGCAUGUUUUGUACUUUCUUGAGGGACGAUUUGUGGUGGACAUUAACAAUGUCCCUACCCUCAUCGAUUAUUUUGAAAGGUCUUGGCCCCCCACUCAACUUUUGUUUUGUAUUAGUGCUGAUACGCAAGCCUUCUUUUCUUUUUGAUACUUGAUGCCGGACACAGUGAAGUGUGCAUAGAUGGAAUCACACACAGCCCCGUGUGCUGGACCCAUAAUUUGUUGCAUUAAUUAAUGUCCAAGAAAAUAUUCAAUUAACUUUUUUUUUGUUUUUCAAAUUAUUACAAUUUACACGUAUAUUGUCAACCGGAUUCUGUUACAGUCCCCUUUCUCUCUAUACACACACAUUUUUCAGUACAGUUCAAAAAUCUAUUAUACAUUAAUUUAAAAAUUCUCUCUCACUAAUAUUUAGAUAGAUAUCUUCUUUUAGUCGAAGGUUAACAGUGAGCCUUCUAAAACUCGAACUCAUACUUUUAUAUGAUUAUAUCACUAGUUACAAGUUCAGUGGCAAAAGAGUCAAUUAAUUAAUUAAUUGAUGAUCAAUCCUUAACUUUUGAUAAAUCUUAACCAUUCAUUAUAAUUAAGCUUAGAUCAUGAGCAUUAAUUAGCUUCGUUGUUUAAUUUCUCCUUUCGGUUGGUGGCAUUUAGUGAUGUCUGGUUCUGUCUGGCUCAAUGCAUCAAAGGUGAUUGAACUUCGUAGAUCACGCUCCAUGCCGGGGACAGAGAAGAGCAUGGCACUUGUUUAUCUCAAAAGAGUUAACAUCACGGGCAACCGGCACACACUAGCAUCAGAAAAUGCUUUUGGAAUUCUCAAAAAGGACUGCUUGCAAGAGGCUUUCAUUUUUAUCUUUAAUGUUUUUUUCCAUCGACUCUACAGAAGAAUUUGCGCUUUCACUUGACAUCAGACAUCGGGAGUUGCUGUGAUAUCUUAGCAAAGGCUUUGACCCUCACAAUAAGAAUAUGAAAAGGAUUGGAUCUCCAUGGUGUAUAGAAUGUGCCAGCUAAAGCAUUCUCCUUUGACACCAGUACCGACUAACAAAGUUUUUUAGGUUCUGAAUCAGAGGCUCAGUGGUUGAAUAUCAUAUUUUCAGAGACUGAAACUCACUCAUAAGAAAUGCAUUUGAUGUUUUCUUCAUAAAGCAUAUCCAUUCGCAUGUGCCUGCAAGUCAAACUCGCAUAAAUUGUCUGGAAUAAUGAGAUAUGAAUACAUAAACAAUCUUUCAUUUUCUUAAUUACACUUGAGAGAGUAAUUUGAGUCAUAGGAGUUAGCGCUGUACUUUCCUUAAUCUGUCACAACAAUCUUUUCCAUGCAGAGCAGGAUUGAUUGAGUUUUGACCAACUCCAAAGCUCAACUUUUCUUUGCAGCGUCACAAACUUGAUGGUGCCGCCCAUGUUCCUGACUCAAUAUUACAAUUGAAAACAAAGUCUUCAUGUCACUCGCAUUUACAUACUCUUGAUAGUCUUCUUGCCCACCUUCAGGUUUACCAAUAACAAUAACAAUAAUAAUCGGAAGUUGAACUUGAAAAUGUCUUAAAUAAAAUAAAUCGAAUAUGAUCUUCUGUAUGACAAAUUCACAGGAAGCAUUACACAAAAGGUUUUCAAUGCGUUGGCAACAAAAUUAAACAAAAAAAAAUGUUUCAUGUAGAGAAGAUUAUAAUCCAUUCCUUCAAUAACUUGAAAGGAUAGACAGGCAUUAAUUGUCUCCUCAUGAACAGAGGCGCCAAAAAUUAACAGAAAUUAUCUUCACAUUCUGCAUGUUGACCCAUAAUUUCUAAUAAAAAGAAAUAUGUAUAUGGUUGAAGUGGUAUCAUAGGUCAUGGAUUAAAUGCUGUAGGACUGUCUAUAUAAAGGUAGAACAUUUUAAAGGAUGAAUGAUGAAAGCUAUCUAGAGCUGGUCCAUCACAACUAAAUUGGCAGUGGGGCUGGACCUCAAGAUAAGCAAAACCAAGUCCAUUUUAAGCUCAAACCUUAAUUUCUGCACAGAGGUAGCUUUCCAGAUAAAUGUUUCUAAACAUUUUCCUCUUUCUAUUUUCCAGAUAAAGAUGGUAAAAAUUACCAAUUUUUUUCUGUAGGCCUUUUUCUCUUUUGCAAAACUUUUAUGUUUC